rnacentral:rRNA from 1 species
AGUGAACGCUGGCGGUAGGCCUAACACAUGCAAGUCGAACGGCAGCACAGUAAGAGCUUGCUCUUACGGGUGGCGAGUGGCGGACGGGUGAGGAAUACAUCGGAAUCUACUUUUUCGUGGGGGAUAACGUAGGGAAACUUACACUAAUACCGCAUACGACCUACGGGUGAAAGCAGGGGAUCUUCGGACCUUGCGCGAUUGAAUGAGCCGAUGUCGGAUUAGCUAGUUGGCGAGGUAAAGGCCCACCAAGGCGACGAUCCGUAGCUGGUCUGAGAGGAUGAUCAGCCACACUGGAACUGAGACACGGUCCAGACUCCUACGGGAGGCAGCAGUGGGGAAUAUUGGACAAUGGGCGCAAGCCUGAUCCAGCCAUACCGCGUGGGUGAAGAAGGCCUUCGGGUUGUAAAGCCCUUUUGUUGGGAAAGAAAAGCAGCAGGUUAAUACCCCGCUGUUCUGACGGUACCCAAAGAAUAAGCACCGGCUAACUUCGUG